AACACCUUUUAUUACAACUUUAAUUUACAUAAAAAUAGAAAGAAAGAAAAAACUACAUGUAAUUUCAACUAAUAUGUGUCUGCACCUGAUUUCCCUCAUAGCUGCAGAGCCUGUAUGCUGCCCCACCUCCUCCUGACUGAUGACUUGCUGGGCCUCCAGCUGGGUCAAUUAACACGCAGCUUCAACAGUUUAAAACCCACCUGGAGUUCAGCUGGCACUCACUGGCUCACAGAAACAAUGGAGAACAUGUUUGUUGUUAAAGAUAUGAAUAGCUUUGAGUGUUCCUCUCCAUCAGAGCUUGACAAGAAGUUUUUUGGUGAACAGAGCUUGCUGUCUGCUUUGUCACUGGAACAACUGUCCACAUCAA